rnacentral:rRNA from 1 species
UGGGGAAUUUUGGACAAUGGGCGAAAGCCUGAUCCAGCAAUGCCGCGUGUGUGAAGAAGGCCUUCGGGUUGUAAAGCACUUUUGUCCGGAAAGAAAUCCUUGGCUCUAAUACAGUCGGGGGAUGACGGUACCGGAAGAAUAAGCACCGGCUAACUACGUGCCAGCAGCCGCGGUAAUACGUAGGGUGCAAGCGUUAAUCGGAAUUACUGGGCGUAAAGCGUGCGCAGGCGGUUUGCUAAGACCGAUGUGAAAUCCCCGGGCUCAACCUGGGAACUGCAUUGGUGACUGGCAGGCUAGAGUAUGGCAGAGGGGGGUAGAAUUCCACGUGUAGCAGUGAAAUGCGUAGAGAUGUGGAGGAAUACCGAUGGCGAAGGCAGCCCCCUGGGCCAAUACUGACGCUCAUGCACGAAAGCGUGGGGAGCAAAACAGGAUUAGAUACCCUGGUAGUCCACGCCCUAAACGAUGUCAACUAGUUGUUGGGGAUUCAUUUCCUUAGUAACGUAGCUAACGCGUGAAGUUGACCGCCUGGGGAGUACGGUCGCAAAGAUUAAAACUUAAAUGGAAUUGACGGGGUCAUAGCUGUUUCCU